rnacentral:rRNA from 1 species
AAACGACUCUCGGCAACGGAUAUCUCGGCUCUCGCAUCGAUGAAGAACGUAGCGAAAUGCGAUACUUGGUGUGAAUUGCAGAAUCCCGUGAACCAUCGAGUCUUUGAACGCAAGUUGCGCCCAAAGCCUUUUGGCCGAGGGCACGUCUGCCUGGGCGUCACGCAU